rnacentral:lncRNA from 1 species
ACUUAUCAUAAGCCCAUGGAUUCAUAAUAAUCUGUUUCUUUUUGCCCUUCUCCCUCCUUUUUAGAACUUUGUAGACAGGACCUGGAACAGAAGAGGUGCUUUAUAAAGGUCUUCUGAGUGUAUAAAUAAAUGGAUGGCUGAAUGCUGUUUUGAGCGUUAAGCCCCACCAACCCAAACAAGAAAGUCCCUUAUGUCCUUUCAGAGUUCCUUUGUACAAAUCUAAGCCAGAAAAGAAAAUGCUGAUACAGGGCCUUAGCUGACAGCACCCAGAAUACUCUACUGGCUAUUUCUGAGAGCACUAAGGAGAAAGAAGCAGCUCACACACGUGCAAGGACAAGUUCACUCAUGCUUGCUUUAGACCUGACCAAACUACUUGCUGGGCAUCUGGGAGAAUUGCGGCCUGUCUGCCAGUGCUGUGUGCUGCAUUCCCUCCUGCUGUUUCACUGGGCCCAGACCUUCUCCCCUGGAAGACUUCCUGAGUCCUCAGGGCAUCUUGGCUGCACUGAGACCUAUGCGAAGUAUUGGUGGUGGUUCUGGCCACAGUUCUUCCUCCCUUCAUCUUAACUGAAACAAAUAAGCAAUCAAUCAAAUAAAUUUCUGUGCCGCAGGAAGAACAGAUACUGCAGCUCUCCUCCACUGGCAUCAUCUCUCCUCUAGUGCUCUUUGGAAAAAACAAACCGACAAAGCUUUUUUCCUUUUACCAAA